UACGUAGGGCGCAAGCGUUAUCCGGAAUUAUUGGGCGUAAAGAGCUCGUAGGCGGUUUGUCGCGUCUGCCGUGAAAGUCCGGGGCUCAACUCCGGAUCUGCGGUGGGUACGGGCAGACUAGAGUGAUGUAGGGGAGACUGGAAUUCCUGGUGUAGCGGUGAAAUGCGCAGAUAUCGGGAGGAACACCGAUGGCGAAGGCAGGUCUCUGGGCAUUAACUGACGCUGAGGAGCGAAAGCGUGGGGAGCAAACAGG
rnacentral:rRNA from 1 species